UUUCUCACCGCACGGGGACGCUGAGAAGGGCGGAAACCCUGAGGGUCCGUUUCCCAUUUUCUGUUACUUGGGAACUCUGAUGAUCCUUGGCAUGUGAUUCCAAAUGAGUUCACUCCGGCGGCUUCAUUUCCGCCGUGUUCCGUCGAAAGCCGUCAUCAUUUUCGGGUCCCUCUUCCAUAAACCUCUCGCAUCAACACCCUCCUAUUCUUCUCUUUCUUCCUCAGAGGAACCACCUCUUCAGUCCGAUUCCACAAAGCUCAUUCUCGCAGAUGAAGAACUCACACAGAUCAACCUCCUCAUUCCUCGCCUCUGCGACUCAAGCCAACUCGCCACAGCUGUUAACCUCACCACCACCGCCCUCUUAGCAAAUCCGCCUCUCAAAUCCCUUUCCCUCUCCGUCUUCAUCGAUUCUCUUGCUUCCCAACCUGAUAUGACCCACGCCAUGUCCCUUCUCACGCGCCUUAAGUUUACUCCAACUUCAUACCCAUAUAUUAGACCCAUCAUCAUUAUGCUCGUCACUUCGUAUUUUAACAAGUACAAGUACAAAGAAGCCCUCAAAGUGUUUAAUUGGAUGGAGAGGCCUGACUCCCCGUGCUCGCCAGAUGAGAAAAUUUACGGGAUCUUCAUUCAUGGGAUUUGUAAAAAUGGCCUCGUUCUUGAGGGUCUGAAGGUUUUAAGGGCUAUGGUGGGUGCCAACAUGGUGCCUAAUUGCGAUUUGAAGGAGUGCGUAUAUCGCGGAUUGCUGAAGCAGGCUCGGAUAAACGAAGCAAAGGAACUGAAUGAUGCUUUUGGUUGUGUAAAUGGUGAAGGUAUGAAGAAGAUUUUGCUGUUGUUGGAACGCCUGAUUGUUCAAUGGAAAGACUAGAACAAAGACAAGAGAAGAGGUUAAUUACAAACUUGAGUUAUGGAGGAGGACAUUGGAGUCGAAAGGUUUCCAUCUGAGUAGGAGUAAGACGGAAUAUUUAUAUUGUAAAUUUGGUGGAUCAACUACAAGUAUUCUCGACACAGAAUAGAGAAAGACUCUAGUUGAGGGAGGGUGCAAUGUAUUGAAAAUAUACGAGGCGAAUUCUACAGUAACUAUUGUUUGUGAUACACAAAAUGAGGAGGCAUGGAAAUUGAGAAUGUUGCUUUAUGAAAUACACAAGCAGGAAAGAAGCAAGGUUAAUAUUCUAAAACUCCACCAGCACUACCCAAUAAUGCGUGCAAAAAGGGACUCUUCAAGGGAGAUGAUGUAAUAUUUGUAAAAAAAUUAUUUAGCAGAUGAUGAACGAUAGUAUAAAUGAUUAAGAAAAUAGAGAGUUGCCCAUUGGGGGAGGGAGGAGCACAGUGAAAGCGCACUAAGGAGGUGAUGGCAAAAUGAAAGGAACCUCACCACAACGAUUGACAAGGGAGAAUAAUGAGUGUGGGCAAAGUGGAAGCAACGCUAUUCUUGUACUCCUUAUAUUAUUUUUAAUUUUCUUACAAUUAUCUUCUAAGCCAGGUGUUGCACAACAGGUGAUUAAAUGAAUAUCUCUCGAGGCCAAAUGUCAUGAAAACUGUAGGUCAUGAUAUUAUAGCAUUGUCCUCCAAAUAUCAUGUUUAAUUUUAUUUCUCAUUUUGACUCCUCUAGUUUUCAUGGUUGACACUUCAUUCACUAUGCAUAACGUAAAUCAUGUAUCUUAAAGGUUUUAUAUUUAAUUAUUCAUGCUC